CAUUGUUGCACGGGGUGCUUUUAACUAAUGUUAAAGGCUGAGAUGAAUACCCGCGAACCUGACACGGAUAAUACCGGCGUAGGGAUGCAUUGGCUCAAAAGG
rnacentral:ncRNA from 2 species